rnacentral:misc_RNA from 1 species
UCUCCGUAGGUGAACCUGCGGAGGGAUCAUUACAGAGCUCAUGCCCUACCGGGCACCCUGUACACCCUAUGUUAUUAUUACUUUGGUGCCUUUGCGGGCCGCCAGGCCCCGGCCCGACUAUCGCCCCCGGCGGGCAAGCGGCCGCCAGAGGAGCCAAAACCCCGAAUAGUUGUGUCGUCGGAGUACCAUAUAAUAGUUAAAACUUCCAACAACGGUUCUCUUGGUUCUGGCUUCGAUGUAGAACGCACUAUAUCGGACGAGCACACGGCUGAACUCCAG